UACAGAGGUGGCAAGCGUUGUUCGGAAUUACUGGGCGUAAAGGGCGCGUAGGCGGCCUUCUAAGUCAGACGUGAAAUCCCCCGGCUUAACCUGGGAACUGCGUCUGAUACUGGGAGGCUAGAGUAUGGGAGAGGGAUGUAGAAUUCCAGGUGUAGCGGUGAAAUGCGUAGAUAUCUGGAGGAAUACCGGUGGCGAAGGCGGCAUCCUGGACCAUUACUGACGCUGAUGCGCGAAAGCUAGGGGAGCAAACGGG
rnacentral:rRNA from 1 species